AUGCUGGGAUUUAAUGUUUAUCUUUUUGUCUUCUCAAGUCUCAUGCAUUAAUUUGACAAAUAUUUGUUGAAGGUCUGGAGUUCUGUGACCAGAUUUUCUGAACUCCAACUCAUGACAUGUGAAAAAGAAUUUUUCUGGCUGUUACAGUUUAACCAUACUUAGAUUCUUCUGAUUCUCAAGUGUUAUUCCAAAUAAGAUUGUUUGGAAAUAUCUCCUCAAAAUAUACAUGUUCUUCUGAAAGGGAUACCAGAAAACACCAUUUUCCAAGCUUGGUACAUAAUCAAAUGAAUGGUUAUAUUUGCCUUACUAUAAAUUCAUCAUAAAAUUUUGG